UACGUAGGGUGCAAGCGUUAAUCGGAAUUACUGGGCGUAAAGCGUGCGCAGGCGGUUCUAUAAGACAGAUGUGAAAUCCCCGGGCUCAACCUGGGAACUGCAUUUGUGACUGUAGAGCUGGAGUGCGGCAGAGGGGGAUGGAAUUCCGCGUGUAGCAGUGAAAUGCGUAGAGAUGUGGAGGAACACCGAUGGCGAAGGCAGCCCCCUGGGAUAAGACUGACGCUCAUGUACGAAAGCGUGGGGAGCAAACAGG
rnacentral:rRNA from 1 species